GCUGGGAUGGCUCAGUUGAUAGAGCAUGAGACUCUUCAUCUUAGGGUCAUGGGUUCGAGCCUCACAUUGGGCA